CUGCUGCCUUCCGUAGGAGUUUGGGCCGUGUCUCAGUCCCAAUGUGGCCGUCCACCCUCUCAGGCCGGCUACUGAUCGUCGCCUUGGUGGGCCGUUACCCCGCCAACAAGCUAAUCAGACGCGGGUCCAUCUUACACCACCGGAGUUUUUCACACAAAUCCAUGCGGCUUCGUGCGCUUAUGCGGUAUUAGCACCUGUUUCUAAGUGUUAUCCCCCAGUGUAAGGCAGGUUACCCACGCGUUACUCACCCGUCCGCCA
rnacentral:rRNA from 1 species